rnacentral:rRNA from 1 species
GAUGAACGCUAGCUACAGGCUUAACACAUGCAAGUCGAGGGGAAACGAUAGAGAAAGCUUGCUUUUUCUAGGCGUCGACCGGCGCACGGGUGAGUAACGCGUAUCCAACCUGCCCAUCACUUGGGGAUAACCUUGCGAAAGUAAGACUAAUACCCAAUGAUAUCUCUAGAAGACAUCUGAAGGAGAUUAAAGAUUUAUCGGUGAAGGAUGGGGAUGCGUCUGAUUAGCUUGUUGGCGGGGUAACGGCCCACCAAGGCGACGAUCAGUAGGGGUUCUGAGAGGAAGGUCCCCCACAUUGGAGCUGAGUCACGGUCAAAACUCCUACGGGAGGCAGCAGUGAGGAAUAUUGGUCAAUGGACGAGAGUCUGAACCAGCCAAGUAGCGUGCAGGAUGACGGCCCUAUGGGUUGUAAACUGCUUUUAUAAGGGAAUAAAGUGAGUCUCGUGAGACUUUUUGCAUGUACCUUAUGAAUAAGGACCGGCUAAUUCCGUGCCAGCAGCCGCGGUAA